rnacentral:rRNA from 1 species
CCUACGGGUGGCUGCAGUGGGGAAUAUUGGACAAUGGGGGAAACCCUGAUCCAGCAAUGCCGCGUGUGUGAAGAAGGCCUGCGGGUUGUAAAGCACUUUCGGUUGGGAAGAAAAGUUUGGCGCCAAUACCGCCGAACCUUGACGUUACUGACAGAAGCAGCACCGGCUAACUCUGUGCCAGCAGCCGCGGUAAUACAGAGGGUGCAAGCUUUGAUCGGAAUCAGCGGGGGUAGUCCGGGCAUAGGUGGUUGAAAUCCCCGGGCUUAACCUGGAAACUGCAUUCGAUACUACAUGGCUAGAGUAUGGUAGAGGGAAGUGGAAUUUCCGGUGUAGCGGUGAAAUGCGUAGAUAUCGGAAGGAACACCAAUGGCGAAGGCAGCUUCCUGGACUAAUACUGACACUGAGGCACGAAAGCGUGGGUAGCAAACAGGAUUAGAUACCCGGGUAGUC